rfam:Paenibacillus ferrarius strain CY1 CY1_scaffold6, whole genome shotgun sequence.
AGGACGGUAGCUCAGUGGGAGAGCAUUACCUUGACAGGGUAGGGGUCGUGGGUUCGAUCCCCACUCGUCCUA